UGACCGAUAGCGCAUAGUACUGUGAAGGAAAGGUGAAAAGGACCCCGGGAGGGGAGUGAAAGAGAACCUGAAACCCUGUGUUUACAAGCUGUGGAAGCACGAAACCGCGUACUUUUUGUAGAACGGUCCGGCGAGUUGCGGCUGGCAAGGUUAAGUAAGGUCGGAGCCGAAGGGAACCAAGUCUUAAUAGGGCGGAGUCAGUCGGGCAGACCCGAAACCGGGUGAUCUAUCCAUGUCCAGGUUGAAGUUGCCGUAAAAGGCAAUGGAGGACCGAACGCACAUCCGUUGAAAAGGGUGGCGAUGAGGUGUGGAUAGGGGAGAAAUUCCAAUCGAACCCGGAGAUAGCUGGUUCUCCUCGAAAUAGCUUUAGGGCUAGCCUCAAAGUCUUUGGAGGUAGAGCACUGAUUCCCUAGGGGGCGUCAAAGCUUACCAAGGAAUAUCAAACUCCGAAUGCCAUGAUGGGGGAGUCAGACUGCACGAGAUAAGUUGGGCAGUCAAAGGGAAAGAGCCCAGACCUACAGCUAAGGUCCCAAAGUGUGUGUUAAGUGGAAAAGGAUGUGGGAUUUCAAAGACAACUAGGAUGUUGGCUCAGAAGCAGCCAUACAUUCAAAGAGUGCGUAAUAGCUCACUAGUCGAGAGGUCCUGCGCCGAAAAUGUCCGGGGCUGAAAACACCACCGAAGCUGGAAACUGGUAGAGGAGCAUUCUUAGGGAGAAGCAGUACCGGAAGGAGCUGUGGACAGAAGAGAGAAUGCCGGAAUGAGUAGCGAGAGGAAGGUGGGAAUCCUUCCGGCCGAAUAUCCAAGGUUUCCAGGGUAAAGCUGAUCUGCCCUGGGUAAGUCGGGGCCUAAGGCGAGGCGGAAAGCGUAGCCGAUGGACAACAGGUUGAAUUCCUGUACUGCAGUAUGACAGAACUGUGGGGACACAGAGGAAGCACACCGGGAAAAAGACCGGGGCAAGCGAGGAGAUGGCAAAUCCGCCAAUCCAAAGCGUGAUGCGGACCGAAGAAGUAGGGAAGUGUGCCGCUGUCAAGAAAAGCCGCUAUUGUUAUGCCCGUACCGUAAACCGACACAGGUGGAUGAGGAGAGAAUCCUAAGGCCGACGGGAGAAGCAUUGUUAAGGAACUCGGCAAAAUGACCCCGUAACUUCGGGAGAAGGGGUGCCAAGGGCCGCAGAGAAUUGGCCAAGCAACUGUUUAGCAAAAACACAGGUCUAUGCAAAACCGAAAGGUGAGUAUAUGGGCUGACGCCUGCCCGGUGCUGGAAGGUUAAGGGAGAGGUUAGCGCAAGCGAAGCUUUGAACUUAAGCCCCAGUAAACGGCGGCCGUAACUAUAACGGUCCUAAGGUAGCGAAAUUCCUUGUCGGGUAAGUUCCGACCCGCACGAAAGGCGUAAUGAUUUGGCACUGUCUCGACAAUGCACCCGGUGAAAUUGAAAUACCAGUGAAGAUGCUGGUUACCUGCGCCAGGACGGAAAGACCCCAUGGAGCUUUACUCCAGCUGAUACUGGGAUUCGGUAUUGCAUGUACAGGAUAGGUGGGAGGCGAGAAGUGGGACGCCAGUCGCUGGAGCCGCUGUUGGGAUACCACCCUUGUAUUGGGUUUCUAACCAGCGCCGUGAACCGGCGGGGGACAAUGUCAGGCGGGGAGUUUGACUGGGGCGGUCGCCUCCGAAAGGGUAUCGGAGGCGCUCAAAGGUUCCCUCAGAAUGGUUGGAAACCAUUCGAGAGUGCAAAGGCAGAAGGGAGCUUGACUGCGACACCGACGGGUGGAGCAGGUACGAAAGUAGGACUUAGUGAUCCGGUGGUAUAAAGUGGGAUUGCCAUCGCUCAACGGAUAAAAGCUACCCUGGGGAUAACAGGCUUAUCACUCCCAAGAGUUCACAUCGACGGAGUGGUUUGGCACCUCGAUGUCGGCUCAUCGCAUCCUGGGGCUGGAGUAGGUCCCAAGGGUUGGGCUGUUCGCCCAUUAAAGCGGUACGCGAGCUGGGUUCAGAACGUCGUGAGACAGUUCGGUCCCUAUCCGGCGCGGGCGUAGGAUAUUUGAGAGGAGCUGUCCUUAGUACGAGAGGACCGGGAUGGACUGGCCGCUGGUGACCUGUUGUCCAACAUGGCAGGGUAGCCAAGCCGGGAGGGAUAAACGCUGAAGGCAUCUAAGCGUGAAGCCCCCCUCAAGAUGAGAUAUCCCAUCGAAGGUAAGACCCCUUGAGACGACGAGGUAGAUAGGGCAGGGGUGGAAGUGCAG
rnacentral:rRNA from 1 species